CGUACACUCCUGCGGGAGGCAGCAGUGAGGAAUAUUGGACAAUGGGUGGAAGCCUGAUCCAGCCAUCCCGCGUGCAGGAAGACGGCCCUAUGGGUUGUAAACUGCUUUUAUCUGGGGAUAAACCUACUUACGUGUAAGUAGCUGAAGGUACCAGAAGAAUAAGCACCGGCUAACUCCGUGCCAGCAGCCGCGGUAAUACGGAGGGUGCAAGCGUUAUCCGGAUUUAUUGGGUUUAAAGGGUCCGUAGGCGGACUGAUAAGUCAGUGGUGAAAUCCGACAGCUUAACUGUCGAACUGCCAUUGAUACUGUUAGUCUUGAGUAAGGUUGAAGUGGCUGGAAUAAGUAGUGUAGCGGUGAAAUGCAUAGAUAUUACUUAGAACACCAAUUGCGAAGGCAGGUCACUAAGUCUUAACUGACGCUGAUGGACGAAAGCGUGGGGAGCGAACAGGAUUAGAAACCCCGGUAGUCCCAUGA
rnacentral:rRNA from 1 species